rnacentral:lncRNA from 1 species
GAUCUUGCUUCAGGAAUGAAAGAAGAAACAUUCAUCUAAUGUCAAGAAAAUCACCCACUAGCUGGGCCAGAAUAAUCCACUUCUGGCCACAUAAGAGGGUGCACCCUAUCAAUGACUCAGAAGAAGCUCCCACUGAGUCCCUGUUGGAAGACCUGGACCUGCCCAGUGACAGGGCAGACGAGAAGGCCCCGCCUACCCCCAAGGUUAAUGGGACAAAUGAUGAAAAUGCUACAUGUGUUGGAACCACUCCUCUGCUAACGGGAAAUCUAGCUGAUGCUGACGAAGAAGCUCCCCCUGUGGACCUGUUGGAGGACCUGACUGAUGACAGGACAGAGGAAGAGAUCCCACUUACUGCCAAGGAGGAUGCAAGAGCUGGUGAAAACCCUCCCCCGGAGGAUUUGUUGAAGGACAGAGCAGAGGAGGAAGCUUCACCCAUCUCUAAGGUGGUCUCAGUAGAAAGUGAAAACGAAUGCAUUUUGGAAAGCAUAUAUGACAGUGGAAAUGAAUGCAACACAGACAAGAUGCUGGACAGCUCAUGGAGCAACCAGGAUGAAGAUGCUACAGAAUACUACUUCGAGUCUAAUGAAGAAUCGGAUCAGGAGAGCAACAGUCUGCAUAUGUCAAGAUAUCCUCUGCUUCUCCUCUUAAGAGAAGCUGUUGGGUCUGCAGUCAGUGAAGAAGAGGACAGGGAGGAGGAGACAUAAAUAUGGAGGGUGGGGAUGAAAGGUUCUGCUCUGACACCUGUGAAGGCCUUGACCUUGGGGCCUCAUCCUGGGCCUCAGAGGGGAACGAAGCAGUACAGAGUCAGGAGGUUUCCAACUGGACAAGGAACAGGGUUGGCCUCACUGCUCAUCUCCUAAGGAACCUAAUUUAGUACAGCUUAGUGUUUUUUUUUUAUUGUAUAGCUUUAGUAUUAUGUUCAAACAUAUGUUUUAUAUAUGCUGUGGAAGCUUUCUCUAUUAAAUGACAUUCAUCUAUCUAGUUGCUUUUCACAUAUUUUCCUAUAAAAAUCACCCUAAUCCGAGGUAGGACUAAAUGAAUUGCUGUCUUGCAUUCACCCUCGUGUCCACCACCAAGGUCACCCCCUCUCUUAUGUCACCGUCAUUCAGUCUUCAUUAUAUCAGGUGACUAUGAAUUUAGUCCAUACCAUCCGUCCUGAUGUAUCUUUCUAAGGAUUCUGUUUUCUGAAGUCUGUUCAUUCCUUUGAUCAUGGGAACAGUAUUUCCCUAGAUCUUUCAUGAUGACUUGAAUGACAGGGCCUUUGAUAGCCAGUUACUUGCCUGCUAGAAAAUUCAUGACUCAUCAUUUCUCUCCUUGAGCAGUUCAAAUACAUUGCUCUACUUUUUUUCUGGCAGAGUAUUUCUCUCCAAAAAGUUUCAUCGAAUUCUGAUUUUUGUUCCGUUAUAUGUCACGUGCUCUCUUGUUCUAGAUGCCCAAAAGAUUUUUGUUUUUCUUUAAAGCCCUGUGAGUUUGUUAGAAUAUCAUCUGCCUUUAGUCAUUACAAGUGAAUGCACAUUGUUCUCUUCAAAAGACAAUUUCAAAGUUGUUUUUAAAAUUAUCAGAAAAAUUUGGACAAUAAUGCCUAGUAUUUGCUUUGCAUCUUUUAAUGAUUUUUCUCUUUCCGGUCCUUGAAUCUUGCAAAUAUCAGAUCUCUUAUGAUUAUAUUUCACUUUUAACACACUCAUGAAAUAUUUUAUACAUUUUUGCUUAAUUUCUUUUCCAGAAGUGUUUUUAAACAGUGUUUAAGCCCUACCUCCUUACUGUUUCAUUUCUUACAAGGCAUUAUUUGACAGCAGGUUUCUGUUUAAAUUUCGUUUACGUGUGCUUUUCAGUAUUUUCGUAUUCUUUGGGGAGUUUCGUGUCUUUGUUUCUGAGUGUUCUUAAUUCUGAUCUAUGAUGUACUUUCAGUGUUCAUUAUUAAUUCAUAGCGUCACCCAUGAACAGAGAAUGGCCACACCCAUGAAGAACUGCUAAGCCUUUGUGUAGGGGUUCAUUACUCCAAGCCCUUUUGUGUUUGUUAACUGAAGUACAGUUGACAUACAUCCAGAUACUUUCAGCUGUGCAACACAGUGGCUCCCUAUUGCUGUACAGAACAAAAUGAUCAAGCAACAGGACUAGUUACCAUGUGCUGUGAUACAAAAUUACCACAAUAUUACUGACUACAUUCCCCAUGUUGUAUAUUUCAUCCCCUUGACUCAUUUCUUUGGGAACUGGAAGUUUGCAGCUCUUAAUCUCUUUCAACAAUUUCUUUAUCACUCAAUCCCACUUCCCCUUGGCAACCAGUUGUUUGUUCUCUGUAUCUAUGAGUCUGUCUUGUUGUGUUUCUUCAUUUAUUUUGUUUUUUAGACUUCCACACAUAAGUCACAUCAUAUGCUAUUCAUCUGUAUCCACCUGACUUAUUUCACUUUGCAUAGUACUUUCUAGUUUCAUCCAUGUCAUAGCAAAUGGCAAGAUUUCAUUCUCUUUUAUGGCUGAAUAUCAUUCUAUUCCAUGAGUAACCACAUCCUCUUUAUCCAUUCAUCUAUCAAUGGACACUGGUUGCUUCCUUAUCUUGGCCAGUAAAAUGAUGCUGCGAUGAACACAGAGCUAAAUAUAUCUUUUCAAAUUAUUUUUUUUCUUCAGAAUACCCAGGAUGGAAUUGGUGGACUGUAUUGUAGUUCUAUUUUUAAUUUUUUUGAGAAAACUUUAUACUUGAUAUAUUUUUUAAGAUAUUGCCUAAUAAUGCAGCCUACUAUACUUCACCUCAUUCUGUAGCUCUUAAUGAAUAUUUCCUUUUUUUCUUUACUGUUAUAUUUUUUAAAAGUAGAAAAAAUUUUAGGACAUAUUUUUUAACCUGAUUCAUACACAUAAUUUGCUGAAACUAGGAAUGAGUUCAUGAAUUUUUUUGAAGUUCUGAUGCUUCUUUACAUUCCUAUACCUAAAGUUGGUAUUUUUUAUAACUAUGAUUUAUUGAGAGUGACACUGAAUGGUACACAUAUACAAACUCUAAAACCAACUUUAGUAAAAAAAAACAUGUUGAUUGCAAACCAAAUUUGUGUCUGUGUUAAUGGAUUGACUGAGAGGAUAAAGGCUGGAAUGCAGAAUUAUAGAGAAAAGAAAGAAAAUGUUGGAAUGCAUGAAAAGGCAGAUUUCUUUGCAAAAGAACAGAGAGAUUAAAUUAUUUGUAUAAAGAAGGAAAAUAUCCUGCUGUAGGAUUUGGUGAAAAGAGUAUUUUCCCCAUCUUAAAAAUCUGCAAUUUAAUCCCAAGUAUUAACAAAUCUGGGCUUCCCUGAUGCUCAGUGGUAAAGAAUCUGCCUGCAGUGCAGGAAAUCUAAAAGACGUGGAUUUGAUCCCUGCGUUGGGAAGAUCCCCUGGAGGAGGGAUGGCAACCCACUCCAGUAUUCUUGCUUGGAGAAUCCCAUGGACAGAGAAGCCUGGCAAGCUACAGUCCAUUGAUUGCAAAGGGUCAGACAUGACUGAAGUGACUGAGCAUGCAUCACACGCCAAGAAAUCUAUAAAUUUAUAUUUAGUUUCUGACUUUGUUUUUCUCUUUAAAGAAUAUUAAAUAUUAAAACUUAUCUGUAUAUUUGAUGUCAAUAAACUUAUACUGGCUCAGAUAUAACAAAGUGACUCACAAACUUCUUUGGAACUAAUUAUGUUGUCAUCUUGUUACCCAAGCUGCUAUGAACAAUGUAUUUUCAAAGAAGACAAAAUACACAUAGAUAUUAUUAUAGCUGACAAAAAUGAGAAUCAUUCUUGCAUUGUAUUUAGUAGAUAAUUCUAAAUUAUACUCUCUAUUAUGGACUAAAAUUACAAUUAAACCUGAAUUUGUGAUGAUUUCAGCACUGACCAAAAUGACUAGCUCACUGAGGUCACAGUGGGUUGUGUCUUGGUCAGGAUACAUAUGUGUGACUAUAAAGAAGCAGUGACUGGGUAAGGGUUAUAAUAAUUAACAUGGAAACAUUGUUUGAAGGGUUCUGUUGGCUUGUUUGGUCUCUGAUCUACUGCCUUUUUGCUAAAGGCAUAUGUGUGUUGACAGUUAAAAGUCAUAACCCUGUUGAUAACUUUUUAUCAUUGAUGUUUGGCAACUUAUUAAGCAUUUUUCCACUUCUCAGUGGGCAUUGGGACUGAGCAAUCUGCUUUGUCUGGUACUUAAUGCUCAUCAAUUGUACAAAAUGCCUUGUUUUUUCCUUUCUCAUUGUGUGUCCUACUUCACUCUGUCCUGUGAAUCCCACAAUCCUAAACGUUUUCAAUGCUGACACUCAUGUCCUCAUGAUUCAAUCUUACCUUAUUUCCUGAAGGAAUAUGUUGGGGAGGCAGGGGAGCACUUGGCCCCCAGAGUUUUCUCUUGCUGUCUCUUGAAUCCUUAUAAACACUGUAACAAAUAUCAAAAAUAGCAUUUGCUAUUGUACAAUGAAUCUUGCCAAGUAAUAGGAAAUAUUAAACUUUGGAGGAAAACAUAAGCAAAAUAUCUCCUUACUUUACCAUUGAAAUAUUUUAUAUAUCUUGGUAGUCUCAUUUAGAAUUUUUUUUAAAUUGAAAUAUAAUUCUCAUAUCAUGAAGUUCACCAUUUUAAAGGGUACAGUUCAGUGGUUUUUAGAAUAUUCAUUAAGUCUGAUGUUAAAAAAAUUUAUUUCUCUGCUUCAUUUUCAUUUUGCCUAAUUUUAUCUUCAUAUUUCUAUGUUGCAUGUAGUUUUUACAUUUAUCAUUUUAAAUUGGUGUUACCACAUCUUCAGUUACAUAGCCAUUCUCUAUUCAUUGGACAUGUGGACAUUCUAUUUCUAAAAUUAUUACAAUUAUUAAUCUCAUGAAUUUACA